UACGUAGGGGGCAAGCGUUGUCCGGAUUUAUUGGGCGUAAAGAGCGUGUAGGCGGCUUGGUCGCAAGUCGUUGAUGAAACUCGAGGCUCAACCUCCGAGACGCCGGUGGAAACCUGCAAGCUAGAGUCGGAAGAGGAGAGUGGAAUUCCUGGUGUAGCGGUGAAAUGCGCAGAUAUCAGGAAGAACACCCGUGGCUAAGGCGGCUCUCUAGUACGGUACUGACGCUGAGACGCGAAAGCGUGGGGAGCGAACAGG
rnacentral:rRNA from 1 species